rnacentral:rRNA from 1 species
UACGUAGGGUGCAAGCGUUGUCCGGAAUUAUUGGGCGUAAAGAGCUCGUAGGCGGUUUGUCGCGUCUGCUGUGAAAACCCGAGGCUCAACCUCGGGCCUGCAGUGGGUACGGGCAGACUAGAGUGCGGUAGGGGAGAUUGGAAUUCCUGGUGUAGCGGUGGAAUGCGCAGAUAUCAGGAGGAACACCAAUGGCGAAGGCAGAUCUCUGGGCCGUAACUGACGCUGAGGAGCGAAAGCAUGAGGAGCGAACAGG